rnacentral:sRNA from 1 species
GAGUUUGUUUGGGUUCUCUGUUUUGAGACAAGUUUUGCAUCUCUGUAAAUCGUUUCUCCCCAAUUGUCAUCGGCUUUCCGACCAAUUUUUGGUGCAGUCUGGGUGCGAUCUUUGUUCAGAUCAUCGUAAUUUUUUUUUAUUUAACUCAGGUAAGUUCAGCAACCCUUAUAUGAGAUUUGUCGAGGCUUUGUCGGCUAAGAGUGGAUUUUGCGUUUGGUUUACUCCGCUGAUAAAUCUGAGAUUUAACAGGAGUUCGAAGGCUACUGUUGGUUUGGGAUGAAAAAGAGAUUCUUUGCAAGCAUCACACAAAGGCCAUCAUUUAUUCCGUUGCCUUAUCAAUGACAACAAGGGCUGAAGACACCUUUCACUACUUCAAUCAAGAAUGUUUACCGUGUUUUGUUUAUGUAUAUUAAAUCAUGUUUAACAUGUUUAAAAACCUGUACAUAUCUUUUUUUGCCCAAAACUCAACAAUAUUUUUUGCAUCCCCAUACAACAGCAUCUCCUCAUUUUUUUGUAUGCAAAAGCUGGAACACAAAGUAUAUUAGAUGGGGUUAUUAGAAGAAAUUCAGUUAUUCUUAUGUUUUUUGUAUCUUUGUACCAGGAAUUUCUAUGUUUUGUAACUGAAUGUAAUCCUCCUUUUCCAGUUAACGCUUUUCCAAAUUCCCGCGGCAACGCGCGGGUAUUACGCUCUAGUGAAAUUCUAGACCU